rnacentral:lncRNA from 1 species
GCCUGUGUUUUACGUGCAAUAUAUUUCAUAUUUGUAGCCUACGGGCAUUCUUUCCCCCUCGCUUUUUUUAUCUGAGAAAUACUGCGGGCAUUGCUCCAGUUACAGGAAGAUAUUGUCAUUCGCUCAUGAAUAGUAUCUAGUCUUUUGCAUGUGAUACGGAGCACAAAAGAACAUUGGAUUCAUGGUACAACUCAGAUUAUUCCCCAAGAGCAACAUGCGCAACCAUGGCUCGAACUUGUGACUUGGAGGUGCAUACCAGACAGCAACUUUUCUUUAGAAAUGACCCA